UACGUAGGGUGCGAGCGUUAAUCGGAAUUACUGGGCGUAAAGCGUGCGCAGGCGGUUGUGUAAGACAGGCGUGAAAUCCCCGGGCUCAACCUGGGAAUUGCGCUUGUGACUGCACAGCUGGAGUGCGGCAGAGGGGGAUGGAAUUCCGCGUGUAGCAGUGAAAUGCGUAGAUAUGCGGAGGAACACCGAUGGCGAAGGCAAUCCCCUGGGCCUGCACUGACGCUCAUGCACGAAAGCGUGGGGAGCAAACAGG
rnacentral:rRNA from 1 species